CUUGGAGAAGGUAAGUGAGGAAGAUCAAAGUAGUGUGCAGUAGAUAAAAAUCAGAAUUUAACAAUAUGAUUCUUUGAUCAGAAACAUCAAGUGAGGAACCAUAAAAGAGAGAUGAAGACUAGCCAGAUGUACAUCACAUUAAUGGAUAAGAUUCACUGAAGCAAAAGAGGAUUUUCUUGUGGAUAAGGGUUCUUCAGAUGUUCCCUUUUUCUUUUUUUUUCUUAUGAGUUUGUGGGUUGUAUAAAUCCUACAACACUGGAGAAACUGUGGGAAAAGGUACAGUACCUGGCACAAGAAUAUGAUCUGGCUCGAAGCUUGGGAAGAUGUUCUAAAAAAAAAAAAUUCAAUAUUAAAAAGGAACAAUGAUCUUAUCACAUCAACAUCCCCUACAACAGAAGACUAAAUGACAUGCUUUCCAUUCAGGUUCAACAUUGAAGAAGUGCUGCAUUCUAUCUGUGAAUACAUAGAGUUGAGACACAGAGAAAGAAGAUGAAACAAGGUUUUUACUUCUGGUUAAGAAUCACUCAGGAAGUUGAAAAGCUCAAAUACAACAAUUUAAAUAAAAAUUAACACUA